CCUACGGGAGGCAGCAGUAAGGAAUAUUGGUCAAUGGACGCAAGUCUGAACCAGCCAUGCCGCGUGAAGGAUUAAGGUCCUCUGGAUUGUAAACUUCUUUUAUAUGGGACGAAAACAGAUCUUUCUAGGUCCUUUGACGGUACCAUAUGAAUAAGCACCGGCUAACUCCGUGCCAGCAGCCGCGGUAAUACGGAGGGUGCAAGCGUUAUCCGGAUUCACUGGGUUUAAAGGGUGCGUAGGCGGGUAGGUAAGUCAGUGGUGAAAUCCUGGAGCUCAACUCCAGAACUGCCAUUGAUACUAUCUAUCUUGAAUAUUGUGGAGGUAAGCGGAAUAUGUCAUGUAGCGGUGAAAUGCUUAGAUAUGACAUAGAACACCCAUUGCGAAGGCAGCUUACUACGCAUAUAUUGACGCUGAGGCACGAAAGCGUGGGGAUCAAACAGGAUUAGAUACCCUGGUAGUCCACGCCCUAAACGAUGGAUACUCGACAUACGCGAUACACAGUGUGUGUCUGAGACGAAGACAUUAAGUAUCCCACCCGUCGGAGGUACGUUCGCGAAGAAAGUAGAAACGUUAAAGUUAAGUAAGUUAGUACGGACGUUAGGAGACGNGCCGACGGACGACACGAGGGGAGGUUAGG
rnacentral:rRNA from 1 species